AUUGAACGCUGGCGGCAGGCCUUACACAUGCAAGUCGAGCGGAGCGGCGGACGGGUGCGUGAUGCCUAGGUAUCUGCCCGGGCGCGGGGGAUAACGUCCGGAAACGGGAGCUAAUACCGCAUACUCUCAGCUUAGCCUCGGUCGGAUUAGCUAGUUGGUGGGGUAAAGGCCUACCAAGGCGACGAUCCGUAACUGGGCUGAGAGGAUGAUCAGUCACACUGGAACUGAGACACGGGCCAGACUCCUACGGGAGGCAGCAGUGGGGAAUAUUGGACAAUGGGCGAAAGCCUGAUCCAGCCAUGCCGCGUGUGUGAAGAAGGUCUUCGGAUUGUAAAGCACUUUAAGUUGGGAGGCGUUACCAACAGAAUAAGCACCGGCUAACUACGUGCCAGCAGCCGCGGUAAUUC
rnacentral:rRNA from 1 species